UUUAAGCUGUUAGAUGGAUAGCUUGGUUUGGAUUGUGAUGAAGGACGUGGCAAGCUGCGAUAAGCCUUGGGGAGCUGCAUGCGAGCUUUGAACCAAGGAUCUCCGAAUGCGAAAACGUGUUCUUUGAAAAUCCCGAGAGGGAGACACACGCCGGGAAUUGAAACAUCUUAGUACCGGUAGGAAAAGAAAUCAAUAGAGAUUCCCUGAAUAGCAGCGAGCGAAACGGGAAUAGGGCAAACCGAAUCUGCUUUCGAAAGGAAGUUAGAGAUGUGGUGGAGUUGAGCCUAAGUUGUCGAGGGGAAGUUGACUGGAACGUCACGCUUCAAAGGGUGAUAGCCCCGUACUCGAAGACAAUAUGGCAUGCUCCGACAGAGUAGGGCUUCCUAGAAUGGAUGUCUGAAUACGGCAGGAUUAACUGCCAACCCUAAAUAUUAAUCCAAGUCCGAUAGCGAACUUAGUACCGCGAGGGAAAGCUGAAAAGUACCCAUAAUAGGGGGUUAAAAGACUUGAAAUCUAUCAGUUACAUAUGGUUACGGCAUUACGGUGUUGUAACGUACGUUUUGAAAAAUGGGCCACGGAGUGUAUCUAUGUGGCGAGGUUAAAUUGAAGCCAUAGCGAAAGCGAGUCUGAAAGGGCGCUAGUCACAUGGAUACGACCCGAAGCCGGAUGAUCUAUUCCUGAGCAGGUCGAAGUUUUUCGAAAGGAGAAUGGAGGACCGAACCAGUGCUAUGUGCAUGUGCUUGGAUGAUUUGGGAAUAGGGGUGAAAAGCCAAUCUAAUUCGGCAAUGGCUGGUUCCUGUCGAAAUAUGCCGUAGUAUAGUCUUACUGUGCUUGCCAGCGGGGUAAAGUACGGAUAAGGUCCGCAGGAUCGCAAGAUUACGGGACUUCUUCCAACUCAGAACCUGUUGGCUGUAUACAGUAGGAAUGGGGGGCAGGGCGUAAGGUUCUGUUCCGAGACGCGAACAAGCGAGACUAAAGUUAAGGUCCCAAAAGAUAUGCUAAGUGUAACAAACUAAGUCUUAAACCUGAGACACUAGGGAUGUAGGCCCAGAAGCAGCCAUCAUUCAAAGAAAGCGUAACAGCUCACCUAUUGAGGUUUGAGGCGGGGAAAAUGGACGGGGCUAAGCAUAUUACCGAUACUUUAGAGGCACUCGAAAGAGUGUUCUGGUAGGCAGGCGUGGAUUCUGCGCAGAAGUGUUCUCGAGAGAGUGCAUGGAGCGGGAUCCAACGAGAAUCGUGGUGUAAGUAAGAUCUAAUUGCCCUGAGAACGGGCAACGCCGAAAGAGCAAGGUUUCCUUGGCACUAUCGUUUAACCAAGGGUUAGUCGGCACCUAAGUCACACCUUAACUGGCUGUGGCGAAUGGAUUUCUGGUUAAUAUUCCAGAACUGUUGCAAUUUUCCGCACAUAUCGCUUUCGGAUAAGUAGAGGGGCGAGAGCUCCAAUCAAGUAGAAAGGCGUUGAGCGUAAUGCAUAGAUGCGCAAGAAUGCUUGAUGAAUUUGCUGACUCCAGGAGCCCAUGAAAAGUAUGUGCUUUAUGGAUUGCAGCAGCCGUACCUAGAACCGACACAGGUGCUCUAGCUGAGAAGGCUAAGGCGUGUAAGGAUAAACUGGUUAAGGGAACUCGGCAUAUUGGCCCCGUAUCUUCGGUAUAAGGGGUGUCUAUAGACGUGUUUGAUUCAUUAAGCGCGUUCGUAGAUCGCAGUAACAAGGACUGCCCGACUGUUUAUCAAAAACGUAGCUGAGUGCAAAUCCUAAAGGACUAGUAUACUCAGUGAGACCUGCCCAGUUGCGGUGUGUCAAAGUUCAGUUCAAUGGACCUAAGCCCCGUAAAACGGCGGGCCUAACUAUGAGGCUCUUAAGGUUGAAUAGUCAACUAAACUGCCUUACGGUAUUCGUCGCAAGAUGAGUAACGCUCUAAGUCACAAGUUAGGAAAAAAGAAAUAAACAGUAACAAUAAUGUUGAAGUUAAAAGUUAAACCAAUAGAGAAAAUCGAGCUAUAUGCUGGAACAUCCGGGAAUCCGACGAUACUCAAUGAUAAAUAAAAUAGCCGAAAUUGAUAUUGCUCGCUUCGCUCGCUAAUUAUCCAAACUUAACUUUCAAAGUUAGUCGAGAUAAUUUUAGUUAUGCGGAGCAUCUUGUCAAAGACAGAUGCGGAGCAAAUUAUUUAAGCAAUUUAUCGUUAGUAAAAAUUCGUUCGGUGCGGACAAUCAGCAGGGAAGAUUUCUUGAAAAAGAAAAACCCUCAGAGACUUCAUGCUCGAAAUAAUUUUAAUUAAUUAUUAAGAUAAAGUCCGAUCUUCAUAGCGAUAUGAAGUUAACAAAAAUGAGCGUAAUGCCUUGUCGUCUGAAUGGCGACGUGCAUGAAUGGUUUAACGAGGUAGUCACUGUCCCUAGCCAGAACCUUCUGAACUCACUUUACCGGUGAACAAGCCGGUGACUCCUAGUGGGAAGCUGAGACCUUGUGGACCUUUACUGCAACUUGUUGUUGCGGUGUUUAGUGAAAUGCAUAGCAUAGGUAGGAGCAUCGAUGUCUAGCUUAGGCGAAGACGGAGCGAUCUUGUAAUACUACCCAUUCCGUUGAACAUUGCUCACUCUCUUAGAGGGGACAGCAUCAGGCGGGCAGUUUGGCUGGGGCGGCACCCUCCAGAAAAGAUAUCUGGAGGGCCCAAAGUUAAGCUCAGUUAGGUUGGAAAUCUAACGUUGAGUGCAGAAGCAAAAGCUUAACUGACUGUGUUUCGCACAGCAAAGAACGCAGAGAUGAAAGUCUGGUUCAGCGACCCCACGUGAUCUGUCG
rnacentral:rRNA from 1 species